GGGUGAUUAGCUCAGCUGGGAGAGCUCCUCACAUAGUCGGGGGGGGUCGGCGCUUCGUUCCCGUCAUCAUUCACCA
rnacentral:tRNA from 1 species